rnacentral:rRNA from 1 species
UGCAAGUCGAACGAACUCUGGUAUUGAUUGGUGCUUGCAUCAUGAUUUACAUUUGAGUGAGUGGCGAACUGGUGAGUAACACGUGGGAAACCUGCCCAGAAGCGGGGGAUAACACCUGGAAACAGAUGCUAAUACCGCAUAACAACUUGGACCGCAUGGUCCGAGUUUGAAAGAUGGCUUCGGCUAUCACUUUUGGAUGGUCCCGCGGCGUAUUAGCUAGAUGGUGAGGUAACGGCUCACCAUGGCAAUGAUACGUAGCCGACCUGAGAGGGUAAUCGGCCACAUUGGGACUGAGACACGGCCCAAACUCCUACGGGAGGCAGCAGUAGGGAAUCUUCCACAAUGGACGAAAGUCUGAUGGAGCAACGCCGCGUGAGUGAAGAAGGGUUUCGGCUCGUAAAACUCUGUUGUUAAAGAAGAACAUAUCUGAGAGUAACUGUUCAGGUAUUGACGGUAUUUAACCAGAAAGCCACGGCUAACUACGUGCCAGCAGCCGCGGUAAUACGUAGGUGGCAAGCGUUGUCCGGAUUUAUUGGGCGUAAAGCGAGCGCAGGCGGUUUUUUAAGUCUGAUGUGAAAGCCUUCGGCUCAACCGAAGAAGUGCAUCGGAAACUGGGAAACUUGAGUGCAGAAGAGGACAGUGGAACUCCAUGUGUAGCGGUGAAAUGCGUAGAUAUAUGGAAGAACACCAGUGGCGAAGGCGGCUGUCUGGUCUGUAACUGACGCUGAGGCUCGAAAGUAUGGGUAGCAAACAGGAUUAGAUACCCUGGUAGUCCAUACCGUAAACGAUGAAUGCUAAGUGUUGGAGGGUUUCCGCCCUUCAGUGCUGCAGCUAACGCAUUAAGCAUUCCGCCUGGGGAGUACGGCCGCAAGGCUGAAACUCAAAGGAAUUGACGGGGGCCCGCACAAGCGGUGGAGCAUGUGGUUUAAUUCGAAGCUACGCGAAGAACCUUACCAGGUCUUGACAUACUAUGCAAAUCUAAGAGAUUAGACGUUCCCUUCGGGGACAUGGAUACAGGUGGUGCAUGGUUGUCGUCAGCUCGUGUCGUGAGAUGUUGGGUUAAGUCCCGCAACGAGCGCAACCCUUAUUAUCAGUUGCCAGCAUUAAGUUGGGCACUCUGGUGAGACUGCCGGUGACAAACCGGAGGAAGGUGGGGAUGACGUCAAAUCAUCAUGCCCCUUAUGACCUGGGCUACACACGUGCUACAAUGGAUGGUACAACGAGUUGCGAACUCGCGAGAGUAAGCUAAUCUCUUAAAGCCAUUCUCAGUUCGGAUUGUAGGCUGCAACUCGCCUACAUGAAGUCGGAAUCGCUAGUAAUCGCGGAUCAGCAUGCCGCGGUGAAUACGUUCCCGGGCCUUGUACACACCGCCCGUCACACCAUGAGAGUUUGUAACACCCAAAGUCGGUGGGGUAACCUUUUAGGAACCAGCCGCCUAAGGUG